rnacentral:rRNA from 1 species
UACGUAGGGUGCGAGCGUUGUCCGGAAUUACUGGGCGUAAAGAGCUCGUAGGUGGUUUGUCGCGUUGUUCGUGAAAACUCACAGCUCAACUGUGGGCGUGCGGGCGAUACGGGCAGACUUGAGUACUGCAGGGGAGACUGGAAUUCCUGGUGUAGCGGUGGAAUGCGCAGAGUAUCAGGAGGAACACCGGUGGCGAAGGCGGGUCUCUGGGCAGUAACUGACGCUGGAGGAGCGAAAGCCGUGGGGAGCGAACAGG